GAUUCCCUACGGGGCGCAGCAGUGGGGAAUAUUGCACAAUGGGGGAAACCCUGAUGCAGCAACGCCGCGUGAGUGAAGAAGGCUUUCGGAUUGUAAAGCUCUGUUAGCAGGGAAGAGGAAGGACGGUACCUGCAGAGGAAGCCACGGCUAACUACGUGCCAGCAGCCGCGGUAAUACGUAGGUGGCAAGCGUUGUUCGGAAUAACUGGGCGUAAAGGAUGCGUAGGCGGUUAAACAAGUUAUAUGUUAAAUUUAUAGGCUUAACCUGUAGAAAGCAUAUAAAACUGUUUUACUAUAGUGCAGGAG
rnacentral:rRNA from 1 species